GAAUCCUUAGCUCAGUUGGUUAGAGCGUUACCUUGACAUGGUAAAGGUCACUGGUUCGAGUCCAGUAGGGUUCA
rnacentral:tRNA from 2 species